rnacentral:rRNA from 1 species
CCUACGGGAGGCAGCAGUGGGGAAUAUUGGGCAAUGGGCGCAAGCCUGACCCAGCAACGCCGCGUGAAGGAAGAAGGCUUUCGGGUUGUAAACUUCUUUUAAGAGGGAAGAGCAGAAGACGGUACCUCUUGAAUAAGCUCCGGCUAACUACGUGCCAGCAGCCGCGGUAAUACGUAGGGAGCGAGCGUUGUCCGGAUUUACUGGGUGUAAAGGGCGUGCAGCCGGGAGUACAAGUCAGAUGUGAAAUCCCGCGGCUCAACCGCGGAACUGCAUUUGAAACUGUAUUUCUUGAGUACUGGAGAGGCAGACGGAAUUCCUAGUGUAGCGGUGAAAUGCGUAGAUAUUAGGAGGAACACCAGUGGCGAAGGCGGUCUGCUGGACAGCAACUGACGGUGAGGCGCGAAAGCGUGGGGAGCAAACAGGAUUAGAUACCCGAGUAGUC